rnacentral:rRNA from 1 species
UACGUAGGGGGCAAGCGUUGUCCGGAUUUAUUGGGCGUAAAGAGCGUGUAGGCGGCCCUGUAGGUCCGUUGUGAAAACUCGGGGCUCAACCUCGAGACGCCGAUGGAAACCAUGUGGCUAGAGUCCGGAAGAGGAGAGUGGAAUUCCUGGUGUAGCGGUGAAAUGCGCAGAUAUCAGGAAGAACACCCGUGGCUAAGGCGGCUCUCUAGUACGGUACUGACGCUGAGACGCGAAAGCGUGGGGAGCAAACAGG